UUGAGAGGAUCUGACUCUAGUACGAGAGGACCGAGUUGGACGAACCUCUGGUGUAUCUGUUGUGGCGCCAGCUGCAUUGCAGAGUAGCUACGUUUGGAUUGGAUAAGCACUGAAAGCAUAUAAGUGCGAAGCCGACCUCAAGAUGAGAUUUCCCUUAAGGGUCGUUGAAGAUGACAACGUUGAUAGGUUGCAGAUGUAAAGGCAGUAAUGUCAAAGUCGAGCAAUACUAAUUACCCUAGCGCUUUUAAACU
rfam:Flavobacteriales bacterium BRH_c54 BRHa_1001776, whole genome shotgun sequence.